AUCAUAAAACAUCUUCACUUUUCCUCUUUAAAUAACUCUCUCUAAAAAAUCUCAAUGAUACACGUACCUAAAGAAUUGUUGAAAACACCUUUUAUAUGCAUCAGGAGAAACACAAUGAAUUUUCCUAAAAUGCAUUGUGUUUCUGCAUAAAAUAUUGGACGCAAUAUGUAGAGAACACACUCCACUUCUCUCUCGAGGGAGAUUUUU
rnacentral:lncRNA from 1 species